rnacentral:tRNA from 1 species
GGACGAUUAGCUCAGCGGGAGAGCACUUCCCUGACACGGAAGGGGUCACUGGUUCAAUCCCAGUAU